rnacentral:rRNA from 1 species
ACGGGGUGCAGCAGGCGCGAAAACUUUGCAAUGUGCGAAAGCACGACAAGGUUAAUCCGAGUGGUUUCUGCUAAAGGAACCUUUUGACAGUCCUAAAAACACUGUUGAAUAAGGGGUGGGCAAGUUCUGGUGUCAGCCGCCGCGGUAAAACCAGCACCUCAAGUGGUCAGGAUGAUUAUUGGGCCUAAAGCAUCCGUAGCCGGCUCAGUAAGUUUUCGGUUAAAUCUGUACGCUCAACGUACAGGCUGCCGGGAAUACUGCAGAGCUAGGGAGUGGGAGAGGUAGACGGUACUCGGGAGGAAGUGGUAAAAUGCUUUGAUCUUUCGAUGACCACCUGUGGCGAAGGCGGUCUACCAGAACACGUCCGACGGUGAGGGAUGAAAGCUGGGGGAGCAAACCGGAUUAGAUACCCGGGUAGUCCCAGCUGUAAACUAUGCAAACUCAGUGAUGCAUUGGCUUGUGGCCAAUGCAGUGUUGCAGGGAAGCCGUUAAGUUUGCCGCCUGGAAGUACGUACGCAAGUA